rnacentral:tmRNA from 1 species
GGGGGCGCCCCGGUUUCGACGGGGAUGGAGAUGCCCUGGUUGCAGGCCGAGGUGCCGCGAGGCCUCGUUAAACACGCGGCAACCGGUAUAAUUGCCAACGAUUACGACUACGCCCUGGCUGCUUAACGACAGCCAGCGUCCCUUCGGCCGACGCCUGAUACGCUGAAGCAGGACGCCAACCCCCAUCAGGCUGGCGAAUGCCCGUGUCCGCCGGGGCAAACGUGAGACUCAGGUGGACUGGUUCCCCUCCGCCCGGUCGGAAGGCGUGUCGGGGACGAGAACAAAUUCCGAUCUAAGCCUGUAGACGCCUGGACAAAAACGUUCUCGGACGGGGGUUCGACUCCCCCCGCCUCCACCA